GGCCGGUUAGCUCAGUCGGUUAGAGCAUGUUGCUGAUAACAUCAAGGCCACGGGUUCGAUCCCCACUUGGUCU
rnacentral:tRNA from 1 species